rnacentral:rRNA from 1 species
UACAGAGGUCUCAAGCGUUGUUCGGAUUCAUUGGGCGUAAAGGGUGCGUAGGUGGCGGGGUAAGUCAGGUGUGAAAUUUCGGAGCUUAACUCCGAAACUGCAUUCGAUACUGCCGUGCUUGAGGACUGGAGAGGAGACUGGAAUUUACGGUGUAGCAGUGAAAUGCGUAGAUAUCGUAAGGAGGACCAGUGGCGAAGGCGGGUCUCUGGACAGUUCCUGACGCUGAGGCACGAAGGCCAGGGGAGCAAACGGG